rnacentral:rRNA from 1 species
CCUACGGGAGGCAGCAGUGGGGAAUAUUGCACAAUGGGGGAAACCCUGAUGCAGCAACGCCGCGUGAGUGAAGAAGUAUUUCGGUAUGUAAAGCUCUAUCAGCAGGGAAGAAGAAAGACGGUACCUGACUAAGAAGCCCCGGCUAACUACGUGCCAGCAGCCGCGGUAAUACGGGGGAUGCAAGCGUUAUCCGGAUUUAAUGGGUUUAAAGGGUGCGUAGGCGGGUAGGUAAGUCAGGGGGGGAAUGCCCGUGGCUAACUGGCGGAAGUGCCUUUGAUACUGCCUUGCUGGAGUGCGGAUGAGGGAGGCGGAAUGUGUGGUGUAGCGGUGAAAUGCAUAGAGAUCAGACAGAACACCGAUUGCGAAGGCAGCUUACGAAUCCGAAACUGACGUUGAUGCACGAAAGCGUGGGUAGCAAACAGGAUUAGAUACCCUGGUAGUC